UAGCCCACGUGGGGGAAGUCAUCGUACCACUCCAGGGGCACAUUGCCCACCGUGUUCCGGAUGUCCUGGGGGCAGCAGGCCAGCGCGUCGGCAGCAGGCACCCACUGUGUCUACCCCUCCCUUCAGGCUCCCGAAGUCACAGGCACGGGUGGGUCCCCAAGGAGGCCGGUGGGACAGUCCCCAGGCACCCUGACACAUGCCCUCUCCCCGGGGUGUGACGUGGCACCGCGGCCAGUGCUGUCCCCCACUGCCCCCCUAACUGGCCCUCAGAGGCGCCGGAGCUGUACCUUCACAUUUUCCACUGAAGUGGUGCCAACCCCAGCGCCUCCCCCCUGGAUUCCUUGGCCAGGACUCUGGGCAGCCACAGACAAGGGUGACCUCAUCGCCCAUGGGCUCCCUCCCCUGGCGGGGGCCUUAGGCAGAAACGGGUAGCCACGGGCAGGGACUCAGGGCAGACCCCACGACCCGCUCCAAGGGGAGGACAAAUCCACUGUCUCUGCCCUGCAGACGUGCAGGGACCCCCUCAGCCCUCCCUGGCCCCGCCCCCCACCCCAGAACAGCCACAUUCCUGGACACACAUUCCUGGUCGAGGCCCCUGCCAGCCACCACCCUCCCUCCACCCAGCACGGAGACUGCUGCCCAGGCGGCCGCUUCCUGAACAGUGGCCACAGGGGGAGGGGCCCAGAUGAGACUGAGCACAGCAGGGAGCCCGAGGUCCCCUUACAGCACAGGACCCCCUGGGCUCUGCCCAUCUGCACCUGCCCACCCAGACCUGCCAACUUCUGUGCUCCCCUCCCAGCAAGCCCGUCCCAGGCACAUCCCUUGUGCCCCGUCCUCUGCACAGGAUUGCGGGGGGGGGAGGGGGGGGGACGACUUCCAGUCUAUACAGGCCCAAUUCCAGUCCAUGCAGCCAUCCCCGAAUUGAACAGAUCCUGGAAUAUGCAGGAAGGGAAGGGGGGGGGUUGCCAGAGCACGAGUACAGGCAGGAGCUGGGAAAGAGGAGGGUCCCAGGCAGAGGGUCCAGCUGACACCAGAAGGCUGUGCCCCCAGGGGUGACCCCACACACAACUUCACCCCUCAGGGCUCCUCCGCACCCCUUCCCCACUCUGCCUGGCACAAAAGGCCCAAGUGUACACAGGAGAGACCGACAAACAGGGUGUGGCCAGGCACCAGGGCCAGGGCAUCUGAGUUAACUUGAUUGUGCCAGGGGAGCAGACCAGCCUGGGUCGCGGGUCCCGCUCGACCCUCCUGGCCCACCCCCGCUGAGGGAGAGGGAGGGAGCUGCAGCGCCCUGUACCAGCCAUUAGGGGAUUCCCAUUUCCCCGCAAGCCCUAGAGACCGCGAGAUGCCCCAGGCUUCUUCAGCGUGGCAGCGGCGGGCGGCGAGGAGGCAGAGGGACGAGGGCCCCUGCUCCGAGCUGCCUCCGGGGGCUGGGAGGCGGGGAGGAGGGCGGGCCGGCGCGGGGGAGGGGCCGCCGCCACUAUAAAGGCCCGGCCCGAGGCUCAGCUCCAGCCCGGGACGCACACGUGCGCGCGGCGCCGCAGCCGCCACCGCGGGCCACCGAGACCCGCGCCUCCCCGGCCCCCGGGCGGCCGCGCGGCUGGCGGCAUGCGCCGCGCAAGGCGGAGCUGACGGCGCGCCCGCCGGCCCCAUGUCCUUCGCCAUGCUGCGCUCGGCGCCGCCCGGCCGCUACCUGUACCCCGAGGUGAGCCCGCUGUCGGACGACGAGGACCGCGGCAGCGAGAGCUCGGGCUCCGAAGAGAAGCCCUGCCGCGUGCACGCGGCGCGCUGCGGCCUCCAGGGCGCCCGGAGGCGGGCCGGGGGCAGGCGGGCGGGGGGCGGCGGCCCGGGGCCCGGGGGGCGGCCGGGCCGCGAGCCCCGGCAGCGGCACACGGCGAACGCACGCGAGCGGGACCGCACCAACAGCGUGAACACGGCCUUCACGGCGCUGCGCACGCUCAUCCCCACGGAGCCGGCCGACCGCAAGCUCUCCAAGAUCGAGACGCUGCGCCUGGCCUCCAGCUACAUCUCGCACCUGGGCAACGUGCUGCUGGUGGGCGAGGCCUGCGGCGACGGGCAGCCGUGCCACUCGGGGCCUGCCUUCUUCCACGCUGCUCGCCCCGGCAGCCCCCCGCCGCCGCCCCCGCCGCCCCCCGCGCGCGACGGAGAGAACGCCCAGCCCAAACAGAUCUGUACCUUCUGCCUCAGCAACCAGAGAAAGUUGACAGCACGCGUGAGCUCCUGGGGCCUGAACAUCUGGGAAAUUUAAUUUUACAAUUUCGGCUGUGCAGCAGUGUGCUCUCCUCCCCAAAGUGCACGGGGAAGCCGGGAGCAAGGACCGAGACAGAAAGACUACGAUUCGCAGUUAGAGGUGGACGCCGCUGGGCUCUCCACGGAGGAACCCCACCCCCACCCCACCCCCGCCAUGGACCCGACUCAGGCCCAGUCCUCCUGUGAGGGCACCUCUGGCUCUGGUGGGGCCAGUGGACGGACAGGCGGCGGCAGGACUCUGCACUGGCCCCAGCUGGCCCAGGUCCACUGGAACCUUCUGUGCUGGCUUCCUACCUGGGUUUUCUUCUGGUCACUACGUGCUGGUAUUUUGUGUCUUUGAUAUGAUAAUAUAAAGUCUGGAAACUUUGUAUAAUUAAAAACAAAACAAUAUCGUCCAA